rnacentral:rRNA from 1 species
GGACUAUCGGGGUUUCUAAUCCCGUUCGCUACCCUAGCUUUCGUGCCUCAGCGUCAGAAGAGAUCCAGUAAGCCGCUUUCGCCACCGGUGUUCCUUAGGAUAUCAACGCAUUUCACCGCUCCACCCUAAGUUCCGCUUACCUCUAUCUCCCUCGAGCAAAGUAGUUUAGAGCGCAGUUCCUCGGUUAAGCCGAGGGAUUUCACACCCUACUUUCUCCGCCGCCUACGCACCCUUUAAGCCCAGUAAUUCCGAAUAACGUUCGGACGGUUCGUCUUACCGCGGCUGCUGGCAC